rnacentral:rRNA from 1 species
GGAGGUCAUUAUCGAAAUAAACAUGAUAGGUUGCUGCUGGUUCUCUAGGGGACAUGUGCACACUUGUCAUUUUUAUAUCUCCACCUGUGCACCUUUUGUAGACCAGAAUAUCUUUCUGAAUGCUUGACAUUUAGGUUAUGAGGAUUGGCUGAGCCAUCUGCCUUUCCUUACAUUUUCAGGUCUAUGUUUCUUCAUAAUACCCCUUUGUAUGUUAUAGAAUGUAAUGAAAUAGGCCUUGGUGCCUAUAAACCUUAUACAACUUUCAGCAACGGAUCUCUUGGCUCUCGCAUCGAUGAAGAACGCAGCGAAAUGCGAUAAGUAAUGUGAAUUGCAGAAUUCAGUGAAUCAUCGAAUCUUUGAACGCACCUUGCGCUCCUUGGUAUUCCGAGGAGCAUGCCUGUUUGAGUGUCAUUAAUAUAAUCAAUCUCAUAAGCUUUUUUGCUUCUUGAGUGUUUGGAUGUUGGGGGUAUUAUUUGCUGGCCUGGUCAGCUCCCCUGAAAUGCAUUAGCGGAACAAUUUGUUGAUCGUUCAUUGGUGUGAUAACUAUCUACGCUAUUGAUGUGAAGGCAGGGUUCAGCUUCUAACUGUCCAUUGACUUGGACAAAUCUUCAUUAAUGUGACCUCAAAUCAGGUAGGACUACCCGCUGAACUUAAGCAUACAA